CUAAGCAUAUCAAUAAGCGGAGGAAAAGAAACCAACAGGGAUUGCCUCAGUAACGGCGAGUGAAGCGGCAACAGCUCAAAUUUGAAAUCUGGCCCUAGGCCCGAGUUGUAAUUUGCAGAGGAUGCUUUUGGUGCGGUGCCUUCCAAGUUCCCUAGAACGGGACGCCAGAGAGGGUGAGAGCCCCGUACAGUUGGACACCAAGCCUUUGUAAAGCUCCUUCGACGAGUCGAGUAGUUUGGGAAUGCUGCUCAAAAUGGGAGGUAUAUUUCUUCUAAAGCUAAAUACCGGCCAGAGACCGAUAGCGCACAAGUAGAGUGAUCGAAAGAUGAAAAGCACUUUGAAAAGAGGGUUAAACAGCACGUGAAAUUGUUAAAAGGGAAGCGCUUGUGACCAGACUUGCGUCCGGUGAAUCACCCAGCUCUCGCGGCUGGGGCACUUCGCCGGCUCAGGCCAGCAUCAGCUCGCUGUCGGGGACAAAAGCUUCAGGAACGUAGCUCUCUUCGGGGAGUGUUAUAGCCUGUUGCACAAUACCCUUCGGCGGGCUGAGGUACGCGCUCCGCAAGGAUGCUGGCAUAAUGGUCAUCAGCGACCCGUCUUGAAACACGGACCAAGGAGUCAACCUUAUGUGCGAGUGUUCGGGUGUCAAACCCCUACGCGUAAUGAAAGUGAACGCAGGUGAGAGCUUCGGCGCAUCAUCGACCGAUCCUGAUGUUCUCGGAUGGAUUUGAGUAAGAGCAUAUAGGGUUGGACCCGAAAGAAGGUGAACUAUGCGUGUAUAGGGUGAAGCCAGAGGAAACUCUGGUGGAGGCUCGCAGCGGUUCUGACGUGCAAAUCGAUCGUCAAAUAUGCGC
rnacentral:rRNA from 1 species